rnacentral:piRNA from 1 species
UUCAAAGAGGAGACAAGUUUC